rnacentral:rRNA from 1 species
AUAGCGUAUAUUAAAGUUGUUGCAGUUAAAAAGCUCGUAGUUGAACUUCGGGCCUGGCCGGGCGGUCCGCCUAACGGCGUUGUACUGUCUGGCCGGGCCUUACCUCUUGGUGAGCCGGCGUGCCCUUUACUGGGUGCGUCGGGGAACCAGGACUUUUACCUUGAGAAAAUUAGAGUGUUCAAAGCAGGCCUAUGCCCGAAUACAUUAGCAUGGAAUAAUGAAAUAGGACGUGCGGUUCUAUUUUGUUGGUUUCUAGAGUCGCCGUAAUGAUUAAUAGGGACAGUUGGGGGCAUUAGUAUUCAGUUGCUAGAGGUGAAAUUCUUGGAUUUACUGAAGACUAACUAUUG